AGACUCGCGCGGGGAUGGAUCGGGGCUCUCGGGCGGCUCCCGGGGCGCCGUGAGGGUACGGAGCGGGUCCGAAUAGCUGCUGGGGGGCGUGUGGGGUGUGUCUGUGUGUGUGAGGGGGCAGCCGGCACCGGGGGGCUGUGAGGAGACGGCCCCCAAGGGAGGCAUGGCCCACUCGGGAAGAGGAGGCGGGUGGUUGUCUUGCUCUGGGUUUCCCCUCAGCUCCAGGCUAUGCAGCGCUUGUUUCCCAGAAGUAUUGCGAGUUCCUUACCCACAGGACUGUAGAUUUGGGGCCCCCCAGCGCGCCCGUUCAUUGGAAAACAAGCUCUGAGUCAGCUGUGUGGGGAAACCCAGUGCUGCUCAGACACAUCUCGUGUUUUCUUCCAAAACACACACCUCUGACUCCAUGCCCAGGGGCUUGGGAAGCAGCAGGUGUCUCAGUCUCAGGGGUGGUGGUGGGAUCCUGAACCCUUCUCACCUGGUCUGCAGCCGGUAUGAAUCCAACAGUUUCCCUGCUGGUGAUGCUCAGACUUCCACCACCAUGUUUCUGAAGCGUGGCAUCAUUGCCCAGGUUUCAAAGAAGAGUAAGACUCUUGUGAGAACGACAACAGCAAGUAAAAUCAAAUCCUGCAACCUCCGGUUUGCAAUGGACUUUAAAGUUUAUCUGUUGAAAAGAAUAUUUACAGGUGAUAAAAAGGAGCUCUGCUUAUAUAUCUGGCCAUCUGAGCUGCAGUAGUACUCAUUCCUGUAAGCAUAUACUAACUGCUGAAGUGUAGAAAGAAUGGAGAAGGAAGAUGAUGGUGCAUUUUUUUCCCAUCUUGCGAAACAAUUUCACAGAAGACAGGAUUCAGGCAGAGUACUGCUGCUCUUGGCCUCGCAUCCCUCAGCCAGCUGAGAGCUGGCUCGGGCACUUUGAGGCAAGAGUGUUUUUUGUAAGAGGUACGGAGUUUUGAGGAAAGCUCUUUUAAAGCUUGCUGUUACUUGACUGUAUCUCGCAUGUUGUCAUGUUGUGUAGUUAGUAGAAGGUGCUUGUAGUAGAGGGAUUAGGGAAAUACAAAACCGACAUAGGGCUGUAGCUGCUGAACUCAAGUUUGAAUACAAAAGGCACUCCAAAAGUAUUGGUAAGUAUUUAGAUGUUGCAAAUGAAUCUUUAGAUAACUCCUCUGUUGGAGGGCAGGGGGAAGACCAGCAGGAUAUUUGCCUGACCCCCUUGUCUUCAUCACUGACUCACUUUGAGGAUGUGGGCUGCAGUAGGUAAACUUUGUGUUCUAAGCAGAUUGAGAGGAAGGCAACCAUAAACCAUAGUCAAAUGGCAGACUUGCUCUCAACUCCAGCACAUUACUAAGCUCUGAGGUAGGAAACGGGACAGAGUUCUGUCCUCAGGUACUCCUCGUGGAGCCCUGAAAAAAGUAGAUAGGGCUUUACAAGGCAGAGGCAUGAGAAUUGGGUUUUAGUAGGGCUAGAUGAUUUUAUAAACACAGUUCACUUCUUGCUUAUUCAGAAUUUAAGACAAUAUUGUUUAAUAAAUCUCAAUGCUUAGAUCUUAAACAAUUCAAUUCAUUGUUCCAACACUGUAAUGCAUUUAGUUAGCAUUAAGAAACCGCCUAUCAUCAGUGGACAUCGUUAAACUAGGUAUCUGCUAGCUUUAAUUUGUUCUGUAAAUAUAUGAUUAAACCAAGGCUAUGGUAUUUGACCCAAGCCUGUAUAGCAGUAUGAUAGCAAGGGUCUUGGUCAUUUGUUAAUACCAGAACAGUGCUUCAAAUUAUUAGUUCCGUUUGCUCAUGAAAAUUGCUCUUUUUUUACAAUUGUCUGUCACUUAUUUACACACUUUCACAAAUAUUUCCAUUUUGCAAACUAUAAUAAUUAGCACUUGAAGUUUAAAGAGUCCUGAUCUGUGUUUCAGAUUACUGCUAUCCCCACUCCCCUGACCGUUAACAGUUGAAUCCCUACCCUGAAACUUUGUAUCCUAUCAUUUACUCUAAAAAUGAGGAAACAUUACAACAUUUUACCAUGUAGAUACCUGACAAGUGUUCUCAGAGCACAGUUACUACGUCUGAGCCUAAGGGAUUGCUCCAGUGCUUCUUGGAUUAAUUUCAGUUUUAACAACAGAAAUCAAUUACUAUAUGCUUGAUUUAUAGUAUGUUGAUAGUAUUAUUCCUUCUCCUCCUAUUCUUCCUUUAUUAAUUGACUAUGAUACUUAAAAGGGACAGAGGAAAUAUAUGUUUUGUUGUAAGAGGCACCAGGGAAAGAUGUUGUGCAAAUAUGCUAGCAGAAUACUGCAACAGGCUGAAGAGCUCUUCUGCAUGGACACCUGCCACAGCAGGUUCAAUCCCACAAAAAUCUGAUAAUCCUUAUUUAUCCUGAUAAUCCUAAUAGCAACAUUUUACUAUGUUGCAAGGUUGAGGGUUGAAGUACCUUAGUCUGUUCUCUUGCUGGAAUUCAGAAACUCGUGGUUUUGUAUUCAAAAGUGCAUGUGAAGUCUGAAGCCCAAAGAGCAUCUGUUUUUUAAACAUAUUCAAGGUUGGCCACUGAGACACACCGACCUUGGCUACGAUAUGGGGAUCUCCAAGUGGAGCAGAACUCUCGGUUUUCCUGUCACACUUCUCUACAAUCUGUGCUAUUCAUCAGACACCGCAAUAACACUUCUUAAGAGCUUGAUUUUGGUGAAUUUGUUUAACCUUGUACAUGACAGGGAUUGCGCAGAGCUAAAUAGCAAUGGAAUGACAUUAACUUGACCCUCAUCUUGCAGAGCUGCCGAAGGAACAUGUCCUUGUCAGUGCACAGAGAUGGCUGUGAGAUCUGAGGCCAGCGGAACAGGGAAAAGUCAGGGGAAAAGGGUGUCUUGUCAACUGCUCUGCCAGUUUCCUCCCUUUGGAAAUCUUACAUGUUGAAGGGCUCAGGAGUAACUAGCAUGAAGUGUCACACAUGCUCUUUGCCACACUCCAGAAGGAGGACUUCAGACUGUGACAAAGGACACAGUACCUUAAGCAGCCAAUGGGACAACAGAGAGCCUCUCCUGAGAGAGAAAGCAGGCUCACGUAGCCUGACUGGAGAGAGAUGGCAGAUGUCUAUGAAGAGUUGCUGCUGAAGAUGGUAUCUUCCCAUGUUAUGGCCCGAACCAGGACAACCAUAUAUGCUUGGGUGUACGUGACCGUCAAUACUUCCCUCAAGCAUGUUUUGCUCAAUAUUCCUGGAAACAGAACUUGAUUCACAGGAGAAAAUGGAACGAGUCACCUCCUGAUGGCAGAGGCGGCUGUGAUCACUGGGUCCUGGCUCUCCACCCCAAAGGGUUUGCCUUGCUGCCAGCAACUGCACGUUGAUCGCUGUUCCUUGGCUUGUGUGAACACUUGGUGAGCUUCACCCUCAGAGCAGGUCUAAAUUGUUGAGGAUUUUCCAGAGAUAAAGUGAAAGCCAAAAACUGAAUAUGGACAAUUUUCAAGCAUCAGAACAUGCUAGGAACUGGCUUGUUAGUUGAAUCUGUGUUUCGGGUGGAGGAUUCACAUCAAUUUGCAGAAGUCUGAAGCUAGACAGUGAAAUACCCUCUGUUCCUCCCAUUUUCCAGCACUUAAUGCAGUAUUAAAGCUCUAUAACAGCA